ensembl:misc_RNA Y_RNA Y RNA
GGGUGGUCCAGUGGUAGUGGCUCAUCAGAACUUAGUGACAUUAGUGUCACUAAAGUUGGUAUACAACUGCCCACCACUAAAUUUGACUGGCUUUUU